UUUACUGUGGCUCAGUUGGUGGAGCAUUGCACUAACAUAACAAAGGCCAAGGGUUCAAAUCCAAGGGAAA